UCAGUAAUGGCGAAUGAACAGGGAUGAGCUCAGUAUGGAAAUUGGGGCCUGUGGCCUUGAAUUGUAGUCUGGAGAUGUACCACCAACUGGGGCGCAGAUGUAAGCCUCUUGGAAAAGAGCAUCAAUGAGGGUGAGAGUCCCGCAUGGCAUCUGCAGUCCCCAGUGCACGGUGUACCUUCUAAGAGUCACGUUCCUCGGGAUUGGAGCGCAAAUCGGGUGGUAAAUUUCAUCUAAAGCUAAAUAUAGUUUCGAGACCGAUAGCAAACAAGUACCAUGAGGGAAAGGUGAAAAGGACUUUGAAAAGAGAGUUAAAAGUGCCUGAAAUUGCUGAAAGGGAAGCGAAUGGAACCAGCGAAACUUGGCAAGAUUGCUGUGUGUCAAUGUGAUUGCUUGCUGCUGCAACGUAAGUGUGGUAGUAAGUCUUGAGCAGGACAUGCUCGGUGUUUCUUGCCUUGUGUGUCACCUGUGGUUCGUGAUUGAGGAAAACUUCAGGGACAUGGUAGCCUGUCUCCGGGUGGGUGAACGUGUCUGCUGGAACUCAUUCGUGGACUGCUUGGUGACUAAAUGGUUUCAUCCGACCCGUCUUGAAAC
rnacentral:rRNA from 1 species